GGAGGCGGGGUGGAGGGAGGGGGCGGGGUCAGGAGCAGAGAUGGGGCGGAGCUAAAGUGCUGCGGUUGCAGGGAUUAUCGUUGAAGAACCACGGAGCCCGCCAGGGGCGGAAUCUGAGAGUCUUCAUUUCUAAAACUUCCAGUUGAUACUGAGGAACACCGAGAGGCAAUGAGUGACUGAUGCAAAGCGAAAGCGUCCAGAAGGAGGCUCUUAGUUGUUGAGAGGAUUAGCCUGAGGAUAUCAGUCAUUCCUGAGUUCUGAGCAAAGAGAAAAACAAGACCUAUAGCUCUUGCUCAAGGCACAGUUGCGUGGCAUCAGAAAUCUAAACAGGCCGUUGCAUAAUCAGUUCCCUGGCAGAACCUAAGUAUGGGAUGCCAGAGAUGGUUUGCUGGAGAAGGUAGCCCUCUGACAGCCAUAACUCUCAUCAUUUGGAACAGCAGAGUGGAAAAGAGCACUAGCCUGGCCAUCCAAAGUCCAGGUUCAAAUCUCAUCUGUAUGACCCACUAGCUGUGGGAUUGUGGAGAAGUCAUUUAAACUCUGGACUUCCUUUCCCAGGGCUGUUGACGGUAUUAACUGAAGCAUUUUGUGACUUUUGUGAUAGAGAAAUGUGUGUUGUACCUGCCUGAACACUCUCCAUCAUUUAUGAGUUUUAGAGUUAGGGAGUCCUCUCAAUUUCAUCAGCCAACUCUAUCAGAUUCCCAAGGUAGAAAGCUCAAGACUAAUUCAGUCUAUUUUGUGUACAUUUCUUUUAGGUACCGUCCUUCAAGCAUGCGUAAGAAUCACCAGCAGAGCUUGUUAAACAGCAAAUUCCUGGGCCUCGUGCCUCAUGGUUCUGACUCACUGGCUCUGUAGUUGGAUUUCAUCCUUUCCUUGGUUUCUUCCCUUUGGUUUCAGGAGCUCCUUACUUUGAGGCUUCAACUUCUUUUCUUAUGCUACAUUACCUUUAUUACUAUUUUUUUUAAAUUUAAACUUCCAGUGUAUUUUCAGAGAAACUGUAAAACAAAACAAAACAAACAAACAAAAAACCAACCUACAGUCCAAGCUGCCUUGCAGGUUGCAAAAGAGGGAGGCAUCAGUGGGCAGAGGGUGGAACACGAUUUCAGGAGUGUAGAAGGAGCCCCUUCCUCAGCUGGCUCUGCUGAGGCCGAGGCCCUUUCCCGGCAGACCCCACACCACCCUGCCAUGCCUCACUCCUCCUGGACCAGGAGCGUUCUGGUGGCCUCAGCCCUCUCUAGGCACAAGAGCUAGAAUUAAACUGGAGAUAAGCUCAAGCUCCCUUAAACCAAUGUUUUCCAGCUGUGAUCAUGGUGCUGGGGACUUGCAUAUUUGGAUAGUAAAACCAUAAUUAUGAUUCACAAAAUCCGUGUAAUGAGUUUCGACCAGCAGAAUAGAAAACAAUAUAUUUGUGUGUAUCUUGGGUAGUUAGAAUAAGUGCUGUUUUGUGAAAAUUCUAGCAUGCGAGAUGUAAAUAUAUUUCCCACUAUGGAUAGGCAAGAAAAAGUUUGAAAUCCACUGUCCUGAGCCCUCCCAUGUUGGCCCAGUGAAUAGCAUUAGGCCCCCGCCUAAGUCUCCUGUCAGCCCCAAAAGGAGGAUCUGGUUAGUGCAGGGUACAAGUGCUUGCUGGAACUUUUACAUACCGCAGGUUUUAAAGUUUCCUCUGAAAAAUUUAACUAAUUUUUGUUACUAUUAUAAAAAAAUAAUAUACAAACAUGGGAGAAAAAAAGUUUAGGCAGUAACGUAUGGUAUAAAAAAGAAAUUUUCCACCACCAACUACUAUUUAUCUUUACAUAAAUUUUCUAGACAUAAAAGUACAUGUAUGUGUUCAUGUGUUUAUCUACAUAUAUGUAUGUUACAUAUGUACACAUGCAAUUAAAUCUAGUCUCUAUUUGUUCUGCUGCUUUUUUUGCUUAAUGUAUUUUAAAGAUCUCCCCACAUAACUAAAUAUAGGACUUCUAUAUAACUUGUGAUUGAGGCAUGUUACUCUAUUAUAUGGCUAAACUACACUUGCUUUCCCUGCUGUGGAUAUUUAAGUUUUCAAUCUUUUCUCUUGAAACCUGUACUAUGUUGUGUAUACACUGUGCAUACAGAAUUUGUAUACCUGCAAGAUAAAUUCCUAGAAAUAACACCAAAUUAAGACCAUACAUUUGUUUUAAAAAUAUCUUUAAUGUCAUUUUAUGUGUCCACUCUCCUCACCACCAUUUUGAGAUAUCGAUCUUGCUCACUGUGGUUUUGCCAUCCGUGGUACAUUCUGUGUGUUUGGCAAAGACCUGGAAAAUUUAGAAAAUAGAUUUCUAUAAUGCUCUGUGACCACAUUGCAGAUUAAAGAAAACAUACUCCCAGGAGUGCCUAUGGUUUUAUGACCCUUUAAAAUUUAAAUUUAGCAGAGAUUGGACACAGCCUGCCGCUAGAUGGAUUGUUACAAAUUCUGAUUUUGCACAUUUAAUUCUGGAGUUUGAUACUUGUUAACUGGCUGCCUCAUUGGUAAAUGUUUGCAUUUCCUAAAAUGGGGUUGAAAUUGUAACAUCCCUUGCA
rnacentral:lncRNA from 1 species